AAUUCGAUUAGUUUGAUCCUGGCUCAGAGCGAACGCUGGCGGCAGGCCUAACACAUGCAAGUCGAGCGCCCCUUUCGGGGGGAGCGGCGGACGGGUGAGUAACACGUGGGAACGUGCCCUUCGGUUCGGGACAACCUCGGGAAACUGAGGCUAACACCGGAUACGCCCUUUUGGGGAAAGGUUACGCCGAAGGAGCGGCCCGCGUUCGAUUAGGUAGUUGGUGGGGUAAAGGCUCACCAAGCCUGCGAUCGAUAGCUGGUCUGAGAGGAUGAUCAGCCACACUGGGACUGAGACACGGCCCAGACUCCUACGGGAGGCAGCAGUGGGGAAUCUUGCGCAAUGGGCGAAAGCCUGACGCAGCCAUGCCGCGUGAAUGAUGAAGGUCUUAGGAUUGUAAAAUUCUUUCAGCGGGGACGAUAAUGACGGUACCCGCAGAAGAAGCCCCGGCUAACUUCGUGCCAGCAGCCGCGGUAAUACGAAGGGGGCUAGCGUUGCUCGGAUUUACUGGGCGUAAAGGGAGCGUAGGCGGGACGACAAGUUGGGGGUGAAAGCCCGGGGCUCAACCUCGGAAUUGCCUUCAAGACUGUCGACCUGGAGUUUGGGAGAGGUGAGUGGAACUCCGAGUGUAGAGGUGAAAUUCGUAGAUAUUCGGAAGAACACCAGUGGCGAAGGCGACUCACUGGCCCAAUACUGACGCUGAGGCUCGAAAGCGUGGGGAGCAAACAGGAUUAGAUACCCU
rnacentral:rRNA from 1 species